rnacentral:lncRNA from 1 species
UACGGUCUGCAUAACUCUGAUGUCUACUCUGGGCUGUCCUGAGCCUAUCUUGAAUCACCCUCACAUGAUCAAAAGCCUCUCGCAUCAAGUCUGUACCAUGCGUCGUGGGCUCUGUAGACUCAAACCAACCAACUGGAGAGCGACAACGCCUACCAUGUAAGGCCUCGAAUGGGACCAUCUAAAUACUCGAGUUGGUAGCUGUUGUUGUACGCAGACUCUGCCAAAGGCAAAUACUGGUCCCACUGACCCCCAAAAUCCAUAACACAAGCCCGUAACAUGUCCUCAAGAACCUGAAUUGUGCGCUCCGACUGACCAUCAGUCUGCGGGUGGAAAGCUGUACUAAGGUCAACACGGGUACCCAACUCAUCCUGGAAAAGUCCUCAAGAAGCUAGAUGUGAACUGUGGGCCCCGGUCUGAGAUGAUGGAAACACACACACCAUGAAGACGAACCACCUCUUGAAUGUAGAUACGGGCUAACCUCUCAACACUGUAGGAAGUAUGGACAGGAAUGAAGUUUGCUGACUUGGUCAAUCUAUCCACGAUGACCCAAAUACUAUCAAGACCCCGGGAAGUGCGGGGUAAUCCUGCAACGAAGUCCAUGGUGAUCCUCUCCCAUUUCCACUCAGGAAUGGGUAAUCUCUGAAGCUCUCCACCAGGCCUUAAAUGCUCGGCCUUAACCUGCUGACAACUCAAGCAACGCGAUACAUAAUCCGCAAUAUCUCUCCUCAUGCCGCUCCACCAGUAGUGCUGUCUCAAGUCCUGAUACAUCUUAGCUGUGGCCGGAUGAAUAAAAUAUUUGGACUCAUGGGCCUCGGUAAAAAUCAUCUGAAUCAAACCCCCAAAUCUUGGAACACAAAGUCCAUCACCAAAUCUUAAAACCCCAUCUAAAUCUAAGGUAGCCAGGUUGGUGUCACCUCCCAAAACUCGAUCUCCAAGUGCCACUAAGUCCUCAUCCUCAAACUGACGGCUGCGAAUCCGAUCCAACAGAGAUGACUGAGCGUCCACAUAAGCCAGUACACACCGGGAAUUAAAGAUAUCAAGUCGUAUCAUCCAGUUAGCUAAGGACUGGAUGUCCAAAGCUAAUGGUCGCUCCGUAGUAGAAAGAAAGGCUAGACUACCCAUACUCACUGCCUUCCGACUCAAGGCGUCCGCUAGUACAUUCGCCUUGCCCAAAUGGUAGAGAAUAGAGAGGUCAUAGUCCUUCAGGAGCUCAAUCCAGCGACGCUGUCUCGAAUUAAGAUCCCUCUAGCUCAUAAUGUACUGAAGGCUCCUGUGAUCAGUAUAGAUCUCGCAUCGAACUUUAUACAGGUAAUGCCUCCGAAUCUUAAGCGCAAAAACUACUGCCGCCAACUCUAAGUCAUGAGUGGGGUAGUUGCGCUCGUGCGGCUUAAGCUGCCUCAACGCAUCAGCAAUAAUGCGGCCAUGUUGCAUCAGUACACAACCCAAACCAAUGCCGGAUGCGUCACAAUAAACUGUAAACCCCUCGCCCUCAACUGGAAGAGUCAAUAUAGAAGCGGUGGUAAGCAACCCCUUAAGCCUCAGAAAGCUCCUCCCACACUCCUCCGACCAGACAAACGGAACAUCCUGGCGAGUCAACCGAAUCAAAGGAGUAGCUAUAGUAGAAAAUCCCUCAACAAAACACCUGUAGUNNNNNNNNNNNNNNNNNNNNNNNNNNNNNNNNNNNNNNNNNNNNNNNNNNNNNNNNNNNNNNNNNNNNNNNNNNNNNNNNNNNNNNNNNNNNNNNNNNNNUUGUGGGGCCCACAAUUGGAAUCCAGAAAACGAAUCCUUGGAAACGUCCCAAAUUCCUCACUAAACUAAUUCCCCAAAAUUUAGCACAAACAGAUGCCUAAAACAUCGCAAAUCAGCCACAACAAUUAACACUAGCAGCCCCUUGAUCACCCAUUUCUGGAAAAACGAGACCCUUCCAACCUAAAAGAUUAUACCACAACGAUCCUUGCGAAAAACUCUACAAGUUAGCCUCUAGAAUGACACAAAACGGACCUAAGAUGAUCAAGAUCUCACAUUUCAAAAUUCAACAACAAUUCAUUCCGAAAAAUCACCCUAGCAGUAGCUAAAUUCGAUUUCUUACCUCGAACAAAGCCUCCCCUCGCGUUGCUAAGAUCACGUAUAGAUUCCCCACGAAAUUCUCUUGAAGUUAGACUUUUGAAUCACUCAAUUCGGGUUUAAAAUGGAGGAGGAAUCUUAUGUUGAAGAUGUCAAAUGAAAAUAAUGGACGAAAUUCGUCCUAAAAUCUGGAAAUUUCCAGAUUUAAGCCGCUGCCACGUGGCGUCGCGUGGCUCUGCCACGUCACCGCCGCGUUAGAAUUCUACCACCCUUCAAACUUAAAUUUCGAUGUUCCGGACUCGUUCGGAGUCGGGAAAAUACAACCCAUAUAUGGAAGCUGAUUGAAAAUGACAUUUCGGACUCAACAGUGAAGGCGGAAUUUCCAUUUGAAGACCGCUUCGAUGAAAAGUGGGUCCCACACCGAAUAUCGUUUUGAGCCAUUUCCACAACUGCCAUCUAAAGCCUCGGGAAGUGAACAAAGGGUCGUUCUAGACCAAAAUCGAUAUUCCUAAUCUAACCUAACCCAGGUGACCGAACUAUCAGUCCCAGCAAGUCAUAAAUGACUUGAGGUCGCUACAGGAACGCUCUAAACGAUGAAAUGAAUUCUUUAAUUUAAAAAAUGACCUGGAGGGUCAUUACAAUAUCCACUACUAAAAGAACUUUCGUCCGCGAAAGUAAGAGUCAAGAAGUACCUGAAGGCUCAAACAAGCUGGGGAACUGUGCCCGCAUCUCAUGCUCGAUCUCCCAGGUAGCCUCCUCAACUGGACGAUGUCUCCAAUGGACCUUAACCACAGGAAUGGCUCUGGAACGCAACCGUCUUACAUCUCUGGCCAAAAUAGCAACUGGCUCCUCAAUGUAUCUCAAACUGUCAUCCAAGUCAACUGCAUCAUACUGAAUCACAUGGGACUCAUCUGGAACAUACCGGCGCAACUUCGAAACAUUAAAAACUGGGUGAAUAGCUGAAAAGGCCAGGGGCAAAGCUAACUCAUAUGCGACUUCCCCAACUGUCCUCAAUAUCUCAAAAGGACCUAUAUACCUGGGGUUAAGCUUGCCCCGCCUCCCAAAUUUCAUUACACCCUUCAUGGGCGACACACGGAGGAAUACUCUAUUACCAACAACAAAUUUCAACGGUCGACGCCUACGGACUGCAUAACUCUGAUGUCUGCUCUGGGCUGUCCUGAGCCUAUCCUGAAUCACCCUCACAUGAUCUAAAGUCUCUCGCAUCAAGUCUGUACCGCGCGGCCUGGGCUCUGUAGACUCAAACCAACCAACUGGAGAGCGACAACGCCUACCAUAUAAGGCCUCGAAUGGGGCCAUCUGAAUACUCGAGUGGUAGCUGUUGUUAUACGCAAACUCUGCCAAAGGCAAAUGCUGGUCCCACUGACCCCCAAAAUCCAUAACACAAGCCCGCAACAUGUCCUCAAGAACCU